UACGUAGGGGGCUAGCGUUGCUCGGAAUCACUGGGCGUAAAGCGCACGUAGGCGGAUUGCUAAGUCAGGGGUGAAAUCCUGGAGCUCAACUCCAGAACUGCCUUUGAUACUGGCAACCUUGAGUCCGGGAGAGGUGAGUGGAACUGCGAGUGUAGAGGUGAAAUUCGUAGAUAUUCGCAAGAACACCAGUGGCGAAGGCGGCUCACUGGCCCGGUACUGACGCUGAGGUGCGAAAGCGUGGGGAGCAAACAGG
rnacentral:rRNA from 1 species